GAGGGUAUAGCUCAAAGUGGUAGAGCACGUGCUUAGCAUGCAUGAAGUCUUGGGUUCAAUCCCCAGUACCUCCU
rnacentral:tRNA from 1 species